ensembl:lncRNA HULC hepatocellular carcinoma up-regulated long non-coding RNA
AUGGGGUAGAGACGCUAGGCCGGCACUGCCUAGGUGGGCCGGGCGGUGCGAGGGUCGCCUUUCAGCCUUUACCUCUACCCACUGAAAUGGAGUAGGUCGGUGAGCGCCGAUCUGCUGGAGAAUCUCAUUAUCCCAUCGGCGCUCUGCCUGCUCCUGGCCUCCAAGCCUCUGAAGCCCCUCGGGUUUCAGCUGCCGGCUACCCUCGAGCCCGUGGUGCCCACGAGAGAGGCGACUUUACGUCAGCGGCCCUGGGCUGAGAUUUGAGAACGCGACCAAGUGGAGAAUGUUGGAGCCAGAUUUUAAAAUCCUUGUCUUCCUUCUGCGUGCUACUUGAUCUAAAUGAGAUACGGCAAAGUCACAGAACCUGUUUUUAUGUUUUUGCCUGAUUCAUACGGGCUUCUCCGGUGAAGAUGGGCCUGAAGUAACGCUUGGGUUGCUUCUGACGUUAUAACUCAUCCUGUAGCUGCAGCAACCGUGGUCCUUGCAACCUCAUAAAAAUGUUGCCAGCAUUGUUUCGAUAGUGCUGCUUAAUUCUUGGAAGGUUCUUCGGACUUCACACAUUCCAGCAGUAGCUCUCUCAGCUCCUGUCCUGCACAGCUUUGAAGUGCUGCACCGCCUGAGAUGUGAUGGUGAGCUGAGCUGUACCUGAAUCCUGAGCUGCCCAGCCCAGGCAGGAAGCACACUGGCGAUCUCUUUCCAUCGGGGGGCAGCUGCCCUAGGCUGGAAGUAUUUUAGCUCUGAAUCUGCUGUUAGAGGGUCUAUCAUUCUUUGUCAUUUUUUUCUCUCAGAUACUGCUCUUUUUAGUUUAGUUUUAUUUAUUAAUAUCUUCCUACUGUGGUGCUUAACGUCUCCUUUCCCCCUCCUCCAAGGGUGAGAGGUCUGGUUGAAAGAUCUCUACUAGCUACGCAGUAAUUUUUUUAUAAUUCUUCCUUCCUUCAAAUGUGUCUUUUUGUGACCCAAUCGAACGCUGGCAAUGAAGUUCCUUAUCUCCAUUUGACUUGUGCAUGAAGCCAACACUCAGAAAUCCUACUUCAUCCCUUACCUUUUCUCUUUGUAGCUAACCCAAAAUGUGUUCAGUUUUACUAAAAGCUGAAGCUCUCCACAAACUUCUGAGUAUAGUGUACUCUGGCCGAAAUGGCAGCCACUUUUUCAAUAUUUUUCAUGUUAAUUACAUUUAACUACACUUAGUUUCAUGAAAUUGAAAUUUACAAAAAAGGAGGAAAAAACCAUGGGGUGGGGGUGGGGAAAUGUGGUAAAUUAUAUUUUUAGAGAAAUACCAGAAGUAGUUUUGUUUUAUUUCAAAAAAAAGUAAUUAAAAAUCGUUUAAAUCAUUCAUAACUUCUAUAAAGUUCUUUUCUAGCUUCUGUUUGACAUAAAAAUAACAAGAUAAUGAGUCGUGGGCCCGGGGAACCAGAAAUCUUGGCUGUUGAUCUGGUAUUUGUGGCUCUAUUGCUGAUUGGUAUAGAAGUGAACUUAUGUGACCAUAAAGGUGAAUGCAGUCAAAAUGGUCAGACAUGCAGUCAACUCUAAAGAUGUUGUGAUAGGGGCCGAAAGUCAAGAAAUAAACUUUAGUAGAUUACUGUGUGAUGGAGAAGAAAUUAUGAGAAGAAAUGCACCUGAAGUGGUCUCAGGGAUUUGUUUCACAUUAAAAAAAUAUACUUUAUUUUUUAGAGCAGUUUGAGGUUCACAGCAAAGUGAAAUAGAAAAUACAGAGAUGUCUCACCUACCCCCUACCCCCGCCAUGCACAGUUUCCUCCAUUAUCAUCAUCCCUAGCCAUAGUGAGAAUUUGUUACAAUUAGGGAACCUGCUUUGGCACAUCAUUAUCUCUCAAAGCACACAGUUUACAUUAGGGUUUUCUCUUGGUAUUGUACAUUCUCUGUUUUUUGACAAAUGUAUAAUGUCAUGUGUCUACCGUUAUAGUAUCAUACAGAAUAGUUUCACUGCCCUAAAAAUCUUCUGUAUUCUGCCUAUUCAUCUCUCUUUUUCUUUCCCCAAACCCCUGACAACCAUUGAUCUUUUUACUCUCUCCAUAGUUUUGUCUUCUCCAAAAUGUCAUAUAGUUGGAAUCGUACAGUAGUAGGUAGCAUUUUAGAGCAGCUUCUUUUACUUAGUAAUAAGCAUUUGUGUCAUUCAUGUAUUUUCAUAGUCUGAUGGCUCACAUCUUUUUGGCAUUGAAUGAUAUUUCAUUGUCUAGUUGUACCACAGUCUACUUAUCCAGCCAUCUACUGGAGGACAUCUUGGUUGCUUCCAAGUUAUGGCAAUUAUAAAUAAAGCAGCUAUACGUGUCCAUGUGAAAGUUUUGUGUGGGUGUAGGUUUUCAACUCACUUUGAAAAAUACCAGAGUGUGAUUGCUGGAUUGUAUUUCACUUUUCAGUUCUGUUUGUGAGUGUUAUUUUAAAAAGAUGCUAUAGGAUAUGCUGCCCUGCACAGAAUAGGUAGAUAGGAACCAGGCAAACGGAAUGUUAUCUGAGGCUCAUUCAUGUCAGUGUUCACUCCUGCAAUGCAGAGUAAAAUCUCUAGUAUAUAGUUAUAGUUUACAAUAACUGGAAGUAGGUUUCCAGGAAUAGGACAGGAUUGACAUGGAUUUUUGAUGCUGCUAUUACUCCUCUACAUUUCUAGCAGAAAAGGGGAAAAUUAUGUCUGGCUGGGCACUGGAAUUGCUUUAACAACCUCAUAGUCUUUCUGAGGCUUCAUAAAUUACAAAUAAGCUCUUGAUGGUUUGAUAUCCUGACCUUUGGAAAUGUUAUUUCUUCUAUUAAAAUAUUAAAUAAAACAAUGUUUUAUUUGAUCUA